GUGGUGCACGGUUCUGCCUUUGUUCCGCGCCCCUGCGUCCGGAAAUCUCGCCGCGCCCCUGCGUCCGGAAAUCUCGCCGCGCCCCUACGCAAUCACCUCCUCCUCUCCCCUCACUACGCCGCCACCUCCUCCUCUCCCCCUCACUGCGUCGCCCUCCUCUCCCACUCACUGCGUCGUCCCCUGGAUCCUCGCCCCAGCCUCUCCAACCGCCUCCGCGCUGUCCCCUGGAUCUCGCGUCGCGCGUCUGCAGCACGCCCGCCACACACGCCGCGAUUGGAGAUUGGUGGAAAGCGGUCCGCGGCUUCAACUCCGACAUCUCCGGCGAGCUCGAGCGCCUCGCUGCAACGACGGGGGCGACGCUCAGAUCCGACGUGCCGGACGCGGCCGCCGUGGAUCUGAACGACCUCGAGUCCAUGGAUCUGUCGGCGGACGCUGCUCCGCUGGAGCACAUGGAGCCGUUCGUGCUGGCAUGCGCGCGGGUGCUGGGCCCGACGCCGGGCCGGACGCGUGGCGUCGCCGACGGCCGGGUCGUCUUCUGGGACGGCAAGCGGUGGGUCCCAUUCGCGACGGCCUCUCCGCGCUGGACGCAGGAGCUCUGCGGCGGGCCCAAGGCCUCGCCGCUGGAGUAUCUCCCCACGCCCGGCGAUGGCGCCCUGCACCUCACGCCCGUGCUCCGCCCCCACACCCAGCAGGCAGGCAUGGAUCUCGCAGGGCAGGGAUCUCGCGGAUCACGCCGUGCGGGGAUCUCGCGGAUCACGCCGGGCGGGGAUCUCGGCCAAGCCUGAUCAGAAGUUUGGGGCCCUAUCAAAGCGAUUCGCAGAAGUGGAGGCUGGGGGAUCGAAGCGGAGGUGGUGGAGAUGACGGAGGCGCUGAAGUCCGUCUGGAAUCCGGUGACACAGAAAAAGAUCAGAGUUUCUCCUUCUACUUCGUCGGGUGAAGUCCCGGUGGUGGACAACACCUCGACGCUGAUCCCUCUGGAAGCUGCGGCAGGCAUUGCUGGUGCCGAUGCAACCCACAUUUGGCAUUCCCACUCCAAUCGAAGGGUUUUUGGUGUCGCUGAACAGGACACUAGGCUUCUGCUCUGCUUACUAAUCCAUUGGUUUCAAGAUGACAGAAGCCGUCAUCAAACUGAAUACUUCUUCUAACUGAAUACUUCUUCCCAGCUGACAGAUCAGAUCAAACUUGACGUGUGUUAGGUAUCAGAGAAAAAAACCAAGGCAUGGUGCACUUCUAAAGAGCACAUCUGCAGCUGCCCGCUCGGGCUCCGUUUCGAUAAGACUAGGGACCUGUACAUCGCCGACGCCUACUUCAGCUUGCUCAAAGUUGGCCCCGAGGGCAGGCUGGAGAGUUGCUGUGAAAACUCUCAAGCCCCCACCCGACGGCGCGAGCGAGGCACGCGGCCCUCCCGGCGGGGUGGACGCGGCCCCUGGCUGUGAGGCGACGAUGGGGCUGGAGGCUGCGAUGGCGCUGGGCGACCCGCCGGCGGACUACGCAUCCAUCGCGACGGUGGGGCUGUUCGUGGCAUUCAUGUGCGUCUGCAUCGUCGUCGGGCACCUCCUCGAGGAGAACCGCUGGAUGAACGAGUCCAUCACCAUGCUCUUCAUCGGCUUUGGGACCUUGAUGUUGCAAUGCUGUAUGUUGGGGAUUGCAGGGGCUGGGAACUAGAGCAGUCAUCCUGUUCGCGUCGAGCGAGAAGCAUUCACGUGUGCUGGUGUUCAGUGAGGACCUCUUAUUUAUUUACCUGCUGCCGCUGAUCAUAUUCAAUGCAGGGUUCCAAGUGAAGAAGAAACAGUUCUUUCGAAACUUCAUUACUAUUACACUGUUUGGUGCAGUUGGCACCUUGAUCUCUUUUACUGUAAUAUCCCUUGGCGCUCUAGGACUAAUAUCAAGGCUUAAUAUCGGCGCACUUGAACUGGGAGACUAUCUUGCACUUGGGGCAAUAUUCUCGGCCACAGACUCGGUUUGUACCUUGCAGAACUUUGAUCAUGGAAAUAUCAGCGGUGCCAAAUUACUGAACUUCAUUGGCAGUUUCCUUUAUCUGUUCGGCUCCAGCACCAUUCUUGGAGUAGCUUCUGGACUUCUUAGUGCUUAUACCAUUAAGAAGUUGUACUUUGGCAGGCAUUCAACCGAUCAUGAAGUUUCCAUUAUGAUGCUAAUGGCUUAUUUAUCUUACAUGCUAGCUGAAAAAGUUCGAGGGUCACAACCAAGCAUGCCUUUGCAACAUUGUCGUUUAUCUUCGAGACUUUUCUGUUUCUUUAUGUUGGUAUGGAUGCAUUGGAUAUAGAGAAGUGGAAGAUUGUCGGUCAAACUUAUAGGCAUACUCUCUCCCUCUUUCUCUCUCUUCAUUGCUCAACUAGAAGAUCUUUCUUCUGGAUCUGUAUUUUCUAUCAUGUGCAGCCCGGUAAAGUCUAUCGCUUUGAGCAGCACCAUUUUAGCCUUGGUGCUGGUUUCAAGAGCUGCUUUUGUUUUCCCACUAUCCUUUCUAUCAAAUUUGACCAAAAAACUCCAAAUGGAAAGAUAUCUUUUAGGCAGCAGGUAAGUCUUUAACUUAGCAACAUCUUAACUUCUUAUGUUCUCUUGAAACAGUUGUUAUAUUCCUUACAUGAUAUUGGUCAUUUAGGUUAUUGUUUGGUGGGCGGGUCUCAUGAGAGGUGUUGUGUCUAUUGUGUUGGCUUACAAUAAGGUUAAUCUUGUGUUUGGUCUAUCUGGUUUGAGCUUUGGUCUGGAAUUAUGUUACUGCUUUUGUUUCCUCUAUCCAUUCCAAAACAUAGGACAUUUUUUGUUGUCGUAAGUCAAAAAUUCUCUAACUUUGACAGAGUUUAUAGAAAAACAAACCAACAUCAACAGCCUUCAUUUCUUAAUCUUAUAUAGAAGUUGCAGUAUUUUAGUCUAAUAGAUGGACAUGUUUUAAAUUUUGAGGCAUUGAAACAAUUUGCAUCAUGAAGGCGUUCGACUUAAUGUUUCCAAGGUUCUGUGGCAGUGCGAGGCAUUUUGGGAGGUGGUGAGCGCCUCGCUUGGCACCUUCAUUUUCGUGAUGAUGCUGUCCUUCAGGCUGCAGUGCCACACAAGUUCGUUUGGUGUAGGUGCUGCUUGAUUUUUGGCGGUGCAUGCCGGGUGUUCGACAAUGUUUCUGAGGUUUUGUGGCAGUGCGAGGCAUUUUGGGAGGGACAUCAUCAUGCCCAACUUGAAGUCGUCCGUGACCACAACAGCGAGCGCGGUGGAGUACAUGGAUGAAGUAUUGAAGGCGUUGUCGCCAGGUAGUACCUUCUUCCCACUCAUGACACUACCUCGUAGACAACACAAGUCUAGAUGUUGCUGGUGCAGCUGUUCAACACGGGCAAGGUGCUGUUUUCCAAUGUGGUCGUCGACGGCGGCAUGUUCGUCUUGGCCCUCCUCACCUACCGCAGCUUCUUCGCGGCGCCAUCAUUCUCCCUGUCCGUCUGAUUUUCUAUCAGUUCCAAUCGGGGCUAUGUCUAUGUACUCUUAUUUUUGUCCAGAACCCUUAUGUAAGGGGAAGUGGAAAGAAAUGGAUUGGCACACUGCUGGAUGGAUCUUCCUCAAUACGUUUAUCGACCGCCGCCGCCGACGACGGAGGAGCAGCACCUCUCGUCUGUCCACCGCUGACCGCUCGUUUGUCAGCCUAGCACCGGGGUGCAUGAACGCCCAGUAUAUGCUACAGCACCGCCGCCCCUGGCCCUGCCGCCUGCGCCGGUCGUUGCCCUGUGCACUCCGCGGGCCUCGGGAAUGGCCAACCAGGACAUUUAUCGUCUUAUUCCUUGCCGAGGGGAGUCCUGCUCCAGUAGUGGUCUCAGAAGGGGCAAAUACCAUGGAUGUUGGCAGGCCUGUGCUUGUGCAGAAUGCACCAAGGACAAGACUGGAUGCAGGGACAUGGGGGACGAUGGGGAUUGGAUUGGGGUACUGUAUUGCAGCUGCAGUAGCUGAACCUGAAUGACUCGUGGUUGCUGUGGAGGGCGAUUCUGGAUUUGGCUUCGGUGCAAUGGAGGUUGAGGUGAACAGGGGCUUCAACAGUGAUGCUGUUUUAGCAAUGGAGACGAUCCAUUCCCUGUCAGCUUCAAAAUCAAGUUACCCAAUGGCUGAUCUCACCCAACUCUUCAUGACAGCUACUCAAGAAGGGAAAAGAUCAGAAUCGCAAGGCCAGAUUCUUAGGGUGGAAUGCUAUAGCUUAAUGCCCUAAUCUUUAUAUGCCUCUUCUUAUAUCUGCACUUCCAUGGGCACCGGGCGACACUAAAUUCACAAGAUACCCCCUCCACCUCAAGGUGGUACGGAGUUCUGUGUAUCACAAGAGACAUCUAGGUUGACCUCACUCUUCUUAGUGUUCAUGCCCACUACGCAAGACAACACCGCAACGCCGAUGGAGUUGGAAGAUUUCAUCAGUUUCGAUUGGAUCUGGAUGAGAUGGACUCUGCUUGUAAGGAGAGAGAGAGAGUGCAUGGCUUGGGAGGAGCAUAUUUUUGUUCAUCCUUUUCAUGAGUCAUGUUACCUGCCAUGUCAGAUUAUGUAACUUCAGAUAUUUCUGUUUUUGUUAGAAAAGUACCAAAAUAGUUUCACUUC